UUAAGAAAAUAAAAAGACAUCGCGAAGGCCCACGGCGGGUGUUGACGUGAUGUGAUUUCUGCCCAGUGCUCUGAAUGUCAAACUGAAGAAAUUCAGUGAAAUGCGGGUAAACGGCGGGAGUAACUAUGACUCUCUUAAGGUAGCUAAAUGCCUUGUCAUCUAAUUAGUGACGCGCAUGAAUGGAUGAACGGGAUUCCCACUGUCACUACCUACUAUCCAGCAAAACCACAGCCAAGGGAACGGGCUUGGUGGAAUCAGCGGGGAAAGAAGACCCUGUUGAGUUUGACUCUAGUCUGGCAUGGUGAAGAGACACGAGAGGUGUAGAAUAAGUGGGAGGCCCCCAGCGCCCCCCCAUCCCCGCGAGGGGGCAGGGCGGGGUCCGUCGGCCUUGCGGGCCGCCGGUGAACUACCACUACUCUGAUC
rnacentral:rRNA from 1 species